UCUAAUGUGGCAGACUAGUGCAAUGGAUUUAAGACCCAUGAAUAGAGGCCCCCCUUUCUUUAGAA
rnacentral:tRNA from 1 species